rnacentral:rRNA from 1 species
UACGUAGGGGGCAAGCGUUGUCCGGAUUUAUUGGGCGUAAAGAGCGUGUAGGCGGCCAGGUAGGUCUGCUGUGAAAACUCGAGGCUCAACCUCGAGAUGUCGGCGGAAACCAUCUGGCUAGAGUCCGGAAGAGGAGAGUGGAAUUCCUGGUGUAGCGGUGAAAUUCGCAGAUAUCAGGAAGAACACCCGUGGCGAAGGCGGCUCUCUGGGACGGUACUGACGCUGAGACGCGAAAGCGUGGGGAGCGAACAGG